rnacentral:rRNA from 1 species
CAGCCGCCGCGGUAAUACCGGCGGCCCGAGUGGCGGCCACUAUUAUUGGGCCUAAAGCGUCCGUAGCCGGGCUGGUAAGUCCUCCGGGAAAUCUGGUCGCUUAACGAUCAGACUUCCGGAGGAUACUGCUGGCCUAGGGACCGGGAGAGGCCGAGGGUAUUCCCGGGGUAGGGGUGAAAUCCUAUAAUCCCAGGGGGACCGCCAGUGGCGAAGGCGCCCCGCUGGAACGGGUCCGACGGUGAGGGACGAAGGCCAGGGGAGCAAACCGGAUUAGAUACCCGGGUAGUCCUGGCGGUAAAGGAUGCGGGCUAGGUGUCGGGUGAGCUUCGAGCUCGCCCGGUGCCGUAGGGAAGCCGUUAAGCCCGCCGCCUGGGGAGUACGGCCGCAAGGCUGAAACUUAAAGGAAUUGGAGGG